rnacentral:piRNA from 1 species
UCCUCCAGGCUUUUUUCUGCUGUUGCA